CACCGCGGUUAUACGAGAGGCUCAAGUUGAUAGAUAGCGGCGUAAAGAGUGGUUAGGGAAGAAAUUUUAAACUAAAGCCGAACAUCCUCCAGGCUGUUGAACGCUCCUGAGUUAAGAAGUUCCAUCACGAAAGUAGCUUUACUACACCUGACCCCACGAAAGCUGUGGUA
rnacentral:rRNA from 1 species